GAUGAACGCUGGCGGCGUGCUUAACACGUGCAAGUCGAACGAAGCACCUGAUCAGAUUUCUUCGGAUUGAUGAUUUUGUGACUGAGUGGCGGACGGGUGAGUAACGCGUGGGUAACCUGCCCCAGACCGGGAGAUUAAUACCGCAUAAGAUUGUAGUACCGCAUGGUACAGCAAUUAAAGGAGCAAUCCGCUAUGAGAUGGGCCCGCGGCGCAUUAGCUAGUUGGUGGGGUAACGGCCUACCAAGGCGACGAUCAGUAGCCGGUCUGAGAGGAUGAACGGCCACAUUGGAACUGAGACACGGUCCAGACUCCUACGGGAGGCAGCAGUGGGGAAUAUUGCACAAUGGGGGAAACCCUGAUGCAGCAACGCCGCGUGAGUGAUGACGGUCUUCGGAUUGUAAAGCUCUGUCUUUAGGGACGAUAAUGACGGUACCUAAGGAGGAAGCCACGGCUAACUACGUG
rnacentral:rRNA from 1 species